UACGAAGGGUGCAAGCGUUAUUCGGAGUUAUUGGGCGUAAAGGGCGCGUAGGCGGUCUACUAAGUCAACUGUUAAAGUACUCGGCUCAACCGAGUGGAAGCGGAUGAAACUGGUAGGCUAGAGGGUAGAAGAGAGAAGUGGAAUUCUCGGAGUAGCGGUAAAAUGCGUAGAUCUCGAGAGGAACACCGAUGGCGAAGGCAGCUUCUUGGUCUACUUCUGACGCUGAGGCGCGAAAGCGUGGGGAGCAAACAGG
rnacentral:rRNA from 1 species